UACGUAGGGGGCGAGCGUUGUCCGGAUUUAUUGGGCGUAAAGAGCUCGUAGGCGGUUUGGUAAGUUGGAUGUGAAAUCUCCAGGCUCAACUUGGAGGGGUCAUUCGAUACUGCCAUGACUAGAGUUCGGUAGGGGAGUGUGGAAUUCCUGGUGGAGCGGUGAAAUGCGUAGAUAUCUGGAGGAACACCGGUGGCGAAGGCGGCAUCCUGGACCAACACUGACACUGAGGAGCGAAAGCCAGGGGAGCAAACGGG
rnacentral:rRNA from 1 species